GACGAACGCUGGCGGCGUGCUUAACACAUGCAAGUCGAAGAUAGUGGCGAACGGGUGAGUAAAACGUAGUAACCUGCCCUCCUUUUUGGGAUAAGCCUUGGAAACGGGGUCUAAAACCGGAUAAAGGGGGAUGGGCCAGCGGCCUAUUAGCUUUUGGGUGGGGGGAUGGCCUACCAAGGCGGUGCCGGUUAGCAGGCCUGAGAGGGUGACCGGCCACAUUUGGACUGAGCUACGGUCCAGACUCGGACGGGAGGCAGCAGUGGGUAAUAUGGGACAAUGGGCGAAAGCCUGAUCCAGCCAUGCCGCGUGUGUGAAGAAGGUCUUCGGAUUGUAAAGCACUUUAAGUUGGGAGGCGUUACCAACAGAAUAAGCACCGGCUAACUUCGUGCCAGCAGCCGCGGUAAUUC
rnacentral:rRNA from 1 species